rnacentral:misc_RNA from 1 species
UCUCCGUUGGUGAACCAGCGGAGGGAUCAUUACCGAGUGCAAACUCAUAACCCUUUGUGAACCUAUAUCUGUUGCUUCGGCGGCUCGCUCUCGGGCGAGCCCGCCGGUAAUACCAGUAUCUCUGUUUGAACCCGACGAUACUUCUGAGUGUUCUUAGCGAACAGUUAAAACUUUUAACAACGGAUCUCUUGGCUCUA